rnacentral:tRNA from 1 species
UCGUGGUUAGCUCAUUUGGCAGAGCAUCAGACAUUUAAUCUGAAUGUAGGAGGUUCGAACCCUUCACCACCCGC